UACGAAGGGGACUAGCGUUGUUCGGAAUUAUUGGGCGUAAAGCGCACGUAGGCGGCUUUGCAAGUCGGAUGUGAAAUCCCUCGGCUCAACCAAGGAAGUGCAUCCGAAACUGCAGAGCUUGAGUACUUAAGAGGAUCGCGGAAUUCCCGGUGUAGAGGUGAAAUUCGUAGAUAUCGGGAGGAACACCAGUGGCGAAGGCGGCGAUCUGGGAAGAUACUGACGCUGAGGUGCGAAAGCGUGGGGAGCAAACAGG
rnacentral:rRNA from 1 species